UUGCCAACCCAGGGCAAGGCGGAAUACCCGCUGAAUUUAAGCAUAUCAUAAACCCGGAAGAA
rnacentral:rRNA from 1 species